GUUUAAUGGUCAAAAUAUUUGCUUUCCCUCCCGCUGCCUCCCAGAGAGUUCAUCGCAGCCCGAGGUCACUGGGGUUCCAGCUGACCCGAGGUUGAAGGCACAGCACAGGAGGCGCCCCGGGAGCUGCUGGUUUCAUGGAGGAGCGAGGCCCCGAGGGGCAGGUCCAAGCGGCCAGGCCCCCCUCCCCCGAUGGCGAAACAUCGCAGAGAAGUCACGCGGCCCUCCCAGAUUCAGGACUUAAAAUGCCAGCAGCAUGUGGGGCUCAGCCUGCGCCUUUGCCUGCGGCUAAGGAGGGCGUGGUUGACGCCCAGCACCAGCCCCCAGGACCCCCCUGCUCCCCCACCGCCUCCGGACCACAGAGUGGGUCUCUGCCCUCCCACCCUCCGCCCACACCGCACUGCCUGGGGCCGCGCUCUGGGCCGGAUGCCGCCCGCCCUGCGUUCUCCCAGCAGCGAGGGGCGCUCCUUGUCGUUGGCCGCGGGAGCGCAGUUGUAAGGUGCCGCGUCCAGAGCAGAAAAACGGUGAGUCCUUGCCCGUGUCUCAGCUUCGUUUCCAACGGGCACUGGAAAAUAAACGCAUUAUGUUUUACAGAUUCUGGAGAAGUUGUGAUGCUUUUUAAAACCCGAGAGUUGAGCAUCUUGAGCUCUUGGAGGCUGUUACUGUGACAGCGAGACGUUUCGCUCGGGGCCUUCAGCCUCUCCUAGCAGGUGGGGGUGCCCCAUUCAGGCCACAGGCUGUUUCGAGUCACGGGCAGCAGGGGAGGCCGGUGACCCGAGGUCGUGGCCUGCUUGGCCCUCUUCCCAGAACGGCAGGGCCCGAGCCUGAGGCCCGUGUGUCCCGUGGAGCCCGUCUGGUGGCCGCUGCUGACGCUCAGUAUUCCUUCCUCCCGACUGUAAAGGAAAUGGCUCAGGAACAGCACAUUCCGGGCCUCGCGGAGGUGCCGGCGGCCCUGGCGGCAGAAUGGCCCGUCCUACAAGCACCGCCUCGUGCCAGCCUGGUUCCCGUGUGAACCGCCUGCCUCUGGCUGGGGGCUGGGCUCGGCGCGAGCACCUGUUGUGUCCGGGCUGGGACCCAGGGCCCGGGUCCAGGUGUGCUGCUGGCAAGUCCCAGCGUUUCCCCGAAGGCGGAAGUCCUGGCUGCGGCUUUGUCUGGAGCUCCUCUCGCCGGCAUUCCCCACAUUGUUCCAGCUUUUCCCUCGCAGGAAACACGGGUAACUGCU